GUAAAAUAUUGAUUUAUUCAUAGAUAAUUGAAUUCAAACGAAAAAAAAUAUAUUAAAAAAAUAAUAACGUUAAUAUUAUAAAUAGAAAUCAUUGUAAAUUUAUAUGAAUUUCUUAAUAUUUUUCAAUACAACAAAUUAUAUUAAUAAAGAUGAAAAUUUUACAUAAAUUAAUUUUGCUUAUUUAUUAUUUUUAGUUUUCAACAUAGCAAACUAUGAAAUUGCAUUUUCGAUCAUUCAAUUGUUAUAUAUAUAAAUUAAUUUUCAUAUGAAAUAAUUCUAUUUAUUUAUUAAUAUAUAUGUUACUUACAAUAUUAUGUCAUCAUUUGAAGAAAAUAUUGAAUCAGAGGAAAUAGAAAGCAGUCUUAUAGAGGAUGAUGAAGAACAUAUUGGAUCAGAAAUAAGUAAAUCCAUUACAGUGAUUCUAAAAGCAGUGACGCAUCGUGGAACACAAACAAUGAUACGAUGUGAUCCUAAUAAAAGCGAAGAAGAUUUCAUUGAUAUGAUUAUUAAUAUGAAAAUAUAAUUAAAGAGUACUAUAUAAGGGUAAUAUGAAAUUCACUUCUUUAUAACCAAUAUUAAGAAUCUGUUAUAAAAUAAUAAUUUAUGUAUUUAAUCUUUUGUAAUACUUUUGAAUUUAUUUGCCAAAUAUCAAAAUAUAUUUGUUUCUUUUCGAACAACAGAAGAAAAA